rnacentral:lncRNA from 1 species
UUUGGAGGAUAUAAGGUUUACUUCUAAGGAGAUAAAAAGCAAUUGAUGCUUCCUCAAAAUAAAAAAGUUGACUCCAGCCAUGUUUUUAUUUGUUGAGAAAUAUUCUAUAUCUACACUAUGGGAUACAGACUAACAGUUAUUUACCUGUCUAUUGAGUACUUGUCACCUAGGAGUCAUCAGUAAGUUGCAUCCAUUAAACAAAGAAAAGUCAUUCAACCAGCCAUCUGGAGACAACAUGAGCAAAAAAGAAGAGCAGGAAGCGGGCAAGAAGGGAAACUGUCCUAGAAAGAGAGUAAAGAAGACCAAAGUGAUCAGACAACUAAAUUUGCUCAAAAGCAUGUGCCAGUCCUAGAAGAUAUAUACAGUGGUCUUUUGGAAGUGGGGAUGUUCUUGUAGAGACCAGGUUUGAUGUUACUGAAGAGCAAAGGACGAGAAACUGAAAAAAAAAAAGAACACAUUGAAAUAACAUUUUAUUCCUGCAACCCUGACUUCUGAUGAAAACAGGAUGGGCAAAGGUUAACACUGAGGAGAAACUGCUGGAAGUAGAAUCCAAAUUAAGUAAGAGAAGAAACAGAGACCAGAUCCAGGUCCCCACUUGAAUCACUAUAAUUAUUGAAAAUAGCAGCUGAUACGUACCAAUAUAAAACUGAAGACUUGCUAUGACCCAGGAACUCUGGGAAGCAUGUUAUGUAAUUGCAUCUGCCUUCCUUGCUGGACUCUAAGCUCCUUGAGGACAAAGAUGUAUCCAUUGUGCCACUUCUACAUUCUCCAAGCCUAGCAGAGAACCAAGAACUAAGGGCUCAAAAACAUGUGUUGAAUUAAUUAAGAAUAUCACAGCAAAUCCUCUGAAAAACUCAGAGAUAAGUGACAUCAUCAUCCUUAUUUUAUAGAUGACAAACCUGAAAUUUGGGUCAAGAACACAGAGCCUGUGGGUGACAAACAGCAAUCCAAACCAACAAUCAGAUUCCCAAACUUGAAAACUCAUCUACUCUGCCUCACUGAUCAGUUUGUUUGCCCAGUUUCACCAUAAAAGAGUAGGUAAGAUGGGGAGUGAGGAGAGAGACACAAGGAAAAACAUCUCUUGCUUGAGACACCCUCUUCUUUCUUACUCACUUGCCACACAUUCUUUAAGGCUUAUUUCCAGCCCAAAAUUCUCCAAGAAAUCUUUUUGGACCAUACAGCUCUUUUUGUUUCUUCUGAAUACCAGCAGCCCUUAAUAUCCAUUGAAAAGAAUUAAAAAACUACCCCAGCUCUCCUGCAUAGCUCAUUCUUGUUAAGUGUAUGGAGUCCUCUGAAUUUCCCAAAAGCAUGAUAAGGUCCUAAGGGCAAGGUACCCAAUUAUUUUCCCUGUUUGCGGAACAGCACACAGCACAAAAAUGAACACAUGGUUUAGGUUCUUUGUAACUACCUAAGGUCAGAUCAGCUAGAGUGACUAGUUAAUGAUAUACAUAAUAUCAGUAUCAGACCAGGAAUAUCCUUCCUCCUCUCAUUUGUAAAAUUCUCUCAAAUAUCACCCAUUAAAACUGUGGACUUCUUCAUCCUUUUUGUGUUCAUUUAUCUAAAGUGCUAGACAAGCCAGGAGAAUGCCCUGGCCAAAGAAAAUUAAAGGA